rnacentral:rRNA from 1 species
AGAGUUUGAUCCUGGCUCAGGAUGAACGCUGGCGGCAUGCCUAAUACAUGCAAGUCGAACGAAGUUUCGAGGAAGCUUGCUUCCAAAGAGACUUAGUGGCGAACGGGUGAGUAACACGUAGGUAACCUGCCCAUGUGUCCGGGAUAACUGCUGGAAACGGUAGCUAAAACCGGAUAGGUAUACAGAGCGCAUGCUCAGUAUAUUAAAGCGCCCAUCAAGGCGUGAACAUGGAUGGACCUGCGGCGCAUUAGCUAGUUGGUGAGGUAACGGCCCACCAAGGCGAUGAUGCGUAGCCGGCCUGAGAGGGUAAACGGCCACAUUGGGACUGAGACACGGCCCAAACUCCUACGGGAGGCAGCAGUAGGGAAUUUUCGUCAAUGGGGGAAACCCUGAACGAGCAAUGCCGCGUGAGUGAAGAAGGUCUUCGGAUCGUAAAGCUCUGUUGUAAGUGAAGAACGGCUCAUAGAGGAAAUGCUAUGGGAGUGACGGUAGCUUACCAGAAAGCCACGGCUAACUACGUGCCAGCAGCCGCGGUAAUACGUAGGUGGCAAGCGUUAUCCGGAAUCAUUGGGCGUAAAGGGUGCGUAGGUGGCGUACUAAGUCUGUAGUAAAAGGCAAUGGCUCAACCAUUGUAAGCUAUGGAAACUGGUAUGCUGGAGUGCAGAAGAGGGCGAUGGAAUUCCAUGUGUAGCGGUAAAAUGCGUAGAUAUAUGGAGGAACACCAGUGGCGAAGGCGGUCGCCUGGUCUGUAACUGACACUGAGGCACGAAAGCGUGGGGAGCAAAUAGGAUUAGAUACCCUAGUAGUCCACGCCGUAAACGAUGAGAACUAAGUGUUGGAGGAAUUCAGUGCUGCAGUUAACGCAAUAAGUUCUCCGCCUGGGGAGUAUGCACGCAAGUGUGAAACUCAAAGGAAUUGACGGGGGCCCGCACAAGCGGUGGAGUAUGUGGUUUAAUUCGAAGCAACGCGAAGAACCUUACCAGGGCUUGACAUCCCACUAACGAAGCAGAGAUGCAUUAGGUGCCCUUCGGGGAAAGUGGAGACAGGUGGUGCAUGGUUGUCGUCAGCUCGUGUCGUGAGAUGUUGGGUUAAGUCCCGCAACGAGCGCAACCCCUAUCUUUAGUAGCCAGCAUUUUGGAUGGGCACUCUAGAGAGACUGCCAGGGAUAACCUGGAGGAAGGUGGGGAUGACGUCAAAUCAUCAUGCCCCUUAUGAUCAGGGCUACACACGUGCUACAAUGGCGUAAACAAAGGGAAGCGAGCCCGCGAGGGGGAGCAAAUCCCAAAAAUAACGUCUCAGUUCGGAUUGUAGUCUGCAACUCGACUACAUGAAGUUGGAAUCGCUAGUAAUCGCGAAUCAGCAUGUCGCGGUGAAUACGUUCUCGGGCCUUGUACACACCGCCCGUCACACCACGAGAGUUGAUAACACCCGAAGCCGGUGGCCUAACCGCAAGGAAGGAGCUGUCUAAGGUGGGAUUGAUGAUUGGGGUGAAGUCGUAACAAGGUAUCCCUACGGGAACGUGGGGAUG